rnacentral:tRNA from 1 species
CCUGGUGGCUUAGAGGGUAAAGCGUCUGCCUGCAGUGCAGGAGACCAGGGUUCGAUCCCUGGGUCGGGA